rnacentral:rRNA from 1 species
GAUGAAUGCUGGCGGCGUGCCUAAUACAUGCAAGUCGAGCGGUAAGGCCCUUCGGGGUACACGAGCGGCGGACGGCUGAGUAACGCGUGGGAACAUGCCCCAAAGUGAGGGAUAGCGCACCGAAAGGUGUGCUAAUACCGCAUAUGGUCUUCGGAUUAAAGGAUUUAUCCGCUUUGGGAGUGGCCUGCGUACGAUUAGAUUGUUGGUGAGGUAACGGCUCACCAAGUCGACGAUCGUUAACUGGUCUGAGAGGAUGAUCAGUCAGACUGGAACUGAGACACGGUCCAGACUCCUACGGGAGGCAGCAGUAAGGAAUCUUCCACAAUGGGCGAAAGCCUGAUGGAGCAACGCCGCGUGCAGGAUGAAGGCCCUCGGGUCGUAAACUGCUUUUAUGAGUGAAGAAUAUGACGGUAACUCAUGAAUAAGCACCGGCUAACUACGUGCCAGCAGCCGCGGUAAU